AACGAACGCAGGCGGCAGGCUUAACACAUGCAAGUCGAGCGCCCCGCAAGGGGAGCGGCAGACGGGUGAGUAACGCGUGGGAAUCUACCCAGUUCUACGGAAUAACCCAGGGAAACUUGGACUAAUACCGUAUACGCCCUACGGGGGAAAGAUUUAUCGGAAUUGGAUGAGCCCGCGUUGGAUUAGCUAGUUGGUGGGGUAAUGGCCUACCAAGGCGACGAUCCAUAGCUGGUCUGAGAGGAUGAUCAGCCACACUGGGACUGAGACACGGCCCAGACUCCUACGGGAGGCAGCAGUGGGGAAUAUUGGACAAUGGGCGAAAGCCUGAUCCAGCCAUGCCGCGUGAGUGAUGAAGGCCUUAGGGUUGUAAAGCUCUUUCAGUGGGGAAGAUAAUGACGGUACCCACAGAAGAAGCCCCGGCUAACUUCGUGCCAGCAGCCGCCGUAAGAC
rnacentral:rRNA from 1 species